rnacentral:rRNA from 1 species
GGCUCAGAACGAACGCUGGCGGCGUGCUUAACACAUGCAAGUCGAACGAACCUUCGGGUUAGUGGCGGACGGGUGAGUAACGCGUGAGAAUCUGCCCUCAGGAGGGGGAUAACGGUUGGAAACGACCGCUAAUACCCCAUAUGCCGAGAGGUGAAAAGAAAUUCGCCUGAGGAUGAGCUCGCGUCUGAUUAGCUAGUUGGUGUGGUAAUGGCGCAGCCAAGGCUUCGAUCAGUAGCUGGUCUGAGAGGAUGAUCAGCCACACUGGGACUGAGACACAGACCAGACUCCUACGGGAGUCAGCAGUGGGG